rnacentral:tRNA from 1 species
GUGGGUAUAGCUCAAGUGGUAGAGCACAUGCUUAGCAUACACAAGGUCCAAGGUCCUGGGUUCAAUCCCCAGUACCUCCU